GACGAACGCUGGCGGCGUGCCUAAUACAUGCAAGUCGAACGCUUCUUUCCUCCCGAGUGCUUGCACUCAAUUGGAAAGAGGAGUGGCGGACGGGUGAGUAACACGUGGGUAACCUACCCAUCAGAGGGGGAUAACACUUGGAAACAGGUGCUAAUACCGCAUAACAGUUUAUGCCGCAUGGCAUAAGAGUGAAAGGCGCUUUCGGGUGUCGCUGAUGGAUGGACCCGCGGUGCAUUAGCUAGUUGGUGAGGUAACGGCUCACCAAGGCCACGAUGCAUAGCCGACCUGAGAGGGUGAUCGGCCACACUGGGACUGAGACACGGCCCAGACUCCUACGGGAGGCAGCAGUAGGGAAUCUUCGGCAAUGGACGAAAGUCUGACCGAGCAACGCCGCGUGAGUGAAGAAGGUUUUCGGAUCGUAAAACUCUGUUGUUAGAGAAGAACAAGGACGUUAGUAACUGAACGUCCCCUGACGGUAUCUAACCAGAAAGCCACGGCUAACUACGUGCCAGCAGCCGCGGUAAUACGUAGGUGGCAAGCGUUGUCCGGAUUUAUUGGGCGUAAAGCGAGCGCAGGCGGUUUCUUAAGUCUGAUGUGAAAGCCCCCGGCUCAACCGGGGAGGGUCAUUGGAAACUGGGAGACUUGAGUGCAGAAGAGGAGAGUGGAAUUCCAUGUGUAGCGGUGAAAUGCGUAGAUAUAUGGAGGAACACCAGUGGCGAAGGCGGCUCUCUGGUCUGUAACUGACGCUGAGGCUCGAAAGCGUGGGGAGCAAACAGG
rnacentral:rRNA from 2 species